UGUAACGAUGAAGAGCCUGAUG
rnacentral:misc_RNA from 1 species